AAAAAGGCAAAUCCUAGAUUUCCGUGUCCAACUUUGAUUGUCUGUCUUAUAUGAAAUUUUUUUAUAAUUCAUAUUUUUAUUGUUGUUAGAUGAUAAAACAUGAUUAAUAUUUUAUACGUGACUUGUCUUUUUAAUUUUUUUUCUUAAUUUUUUAAAAUAAGACGGACGGUCAAACGUUGGGCACGGAAACCAGGGUUUGUCUUUUU
rnacentral:pre_miRNA from 1 species